rnacentral:lncRNA from 1 species
GUGGGUGUUUGUGCACAGGAGGGGCGGAAAUAGAAUUGACAACUGGAAGCAGAGGAGAGUAUGGAUCAGUGAUUGGAAAGGGGGUAACAGAAAGUAAUAGGAAGCCCAGCCAGGGUAUAAUUAAAAUAUAUUAUAAUAAUAACCAGGAUCUGGGCAGCCCAGGGCUGGGUAUAGCAGCUCUUACUAUACAAUAUUAAAUAUAAUAUCUGUACAUAGCCAUAGAAACCCUAUUACAGACACCCUGCAUGAAAGGUCAGCUAAGAUGUAUGGACUAUCUAGUAAUGAGUCAAUAAAUAUAUAUAUAUACAGAUAGUACAGGGCUGUGAGAGAGCUGUCAGUAAUAAAAUAGAGAUAUACAGAUAGUGCAGGGCUGUGAGAGAGCUGUCAGUAAUAAAAUAGAGAUAUACAGAUAGUACAGGGCUGUGAGAGAGCUGCUAGUAAUAAAAUAGAGAGAUACAGAUAGUGCAGGGCUGUGAGAGAGCUGUCAGUACUAAAAUAGAGAUAUACAGAUAGUGCAGGGCUGUGAGAGAGCUGUCAGUAAUAAAAUAGAGAUAUACAGAUAGUACAGGGCUGUGAGAGAGCUGCUAGUAAUAAAAUAGAGAUAUACAGAUAGUGCAGGGCUGUGAGAGAGCUGUCAGUAAUAAAAUAGAGAGAUACAGAUAGUGCAGGGCUGUGAGAGAGCUGUCAGUAAUAAAAUAGAGAUAUACAGAUAGUACAGGGCUGUGAGAGAGCUGUCAGUAAUAAAAUAGAGAUAUACAGAUAGUACAGGGCUGUGAGAGAGCUGCUAGUAAUAAAAUAGAGAGAUACAGAUAGUGCAGGGCUGUGAGAGAGCUGUCAGUAAUAAAAUAGAGAUAUAUAUACAGAUAGUACAGGGCUGUAUAGGGUCCUCUGCCAAGCUAUGGUGCUCUGGAAGCAUUGGAGAGUUAUAUAGAUUGUAAGCUCCAGGGACAAGGGAGUGUGAGCCAAGUUACAGGGAUACUGAGGAGAACCACUUCUCAAAAUGUCCCUGGAGGAUCCUUUCUCUGUGGUCAGAAGGUGAGUAGGUUUGUAUGUUUUGCUGUCUGGUGAUCCUGGGAGUUGUAGUGGGGUCUCUGUUGAUUGAUACAGACACCUCUUCUUUGUCUGACUACGAAAGGCUACUUUAUAUUUUUUUCAAGAACAGAUCAGCAGUUUGUAAAAUGUGUAAUAACAGCCUUCACCUUACCUGCUUUCAAAUGGAUGUAUGGGUGUAUUCAAAGAAUCAUGAAGAACUGACAAAAUCAUUUAAAAAAAUUAGAUGAAAAUAGCUUGAAAAAAACAUCUUCCAGUUUGGCUAAUGUUGUGUAAAAUCUGUGUUCCCUCUUCUAUUUGCAAAAAGCAUAACUGUGAUACAUUUAUUCAUUUUACUUUUUCUAAUUUAUUUUCAAAGUAUUGCAGAAACAGUUGAGGUGAGCUUUUAUAUAAUUGACGAUAUCCUACGGAUAAUUCACUUAGUUGUGAGUGACUGGGAAUUGAAGAGGGUACGCACAUUUACCAUAUUAGCCAAAUUUGGAAGAGUUGCCGAGUCUAAAAAUUUUAAUAACAUUUUCUGAAAUAUUUGAUUUCUAGUCUUAAAGGUUUACUGCAACCCUUUUCUGACAGUUUUAUUUUUUAAUGAUUAAUGCCUUAUUUUUGCACAGAACUGACAUUUGGUUUCCAGGCUGCCAAAGUCUUGUGUGUCAAUAUUUUAAUUAGCCCCAGCACACAGUGCAAAUACCUAAUAUAUGUGCAAUAUUUCAAGCAUAAAUCCUUUAAUAGAUGGGAAAAAAGACUAAUUAAAGGGACACUAUAGUCACUAGAACCACUACAGCUUAAUGUUUUAGUUCUGGUGUCUAUAGACUGUUACUGCUCACUUAGCACUGUGAACACUGACAUUUCAGAGAGAAAGCAGUGUUUACAUUGCUGCCUAGUAACAACUUUUGUGGCGGUCUCUCAGACGGCCACUAGAGGUGCUUCCUAUCUCAGUGCUGCACAGUGUGCAGUACUGGUGUUCAGCGCCUCUAUGCAGAAUGCAGAAAUUCUAAACCUUCCUCAUAGAAAUUUAUUGAUUGAAUGCAUUUCUAUGAGGAGAUGCUAAUCAAGAUUGAUGAUCUCAGCCAUGGAGGCUGGGCCAGCAUGACGUUGGAGAAAAGAUACGUAUACUAUCUUUAAUCUUCACAGAUAGGGGGCCAGGGGCCUAAUGAUGUAUUCCGCAAGUAUAGUGUCAGAAAUACAUGUUUGUUUUCCUGACACUAUAGUGUCCCUUUAAAUAUUUUGGCGUAAUUGUUAAAUCUUAAGUGCACCUUUCAAGGCUUAUUUUUUUCAUUUUUUUUAUGCACUGUCUAUUUUCCACCACCGCAGUGAGGUGCAGAAAGCACUGAACACCAGUCGGGGUCUGUACCAGCGCUGGUGCGAGCUACUUCAGGAGAGUCAUGUGACCAGUGUGGAGGAGUUUGAUUGGACAACCAAUGAACUUAGGAAUUCACUGAGGAGCAUUGAAUGGGAUCUUGAGGACCUGGAAGAAACAAUCAGUAUCCUUGAAGGGACACUCCAGGCUGCCACACGUUAGGUGCACUGUGUAGGUUAGGUUACAGUUAGUUAUACUGGGUGGGUUUAUAUUAUUAAAGGGACACUCCAGGCUCCCACACACGUUAGGUGCACUGUGUAGGUUAGGUUACAGUUAGUUAUACUGGG